rnacentral:rRNA from 1 species
GAUGAACGCUGGCGGCGUGCCUAAUACAUGCAAGUCGAGCGAACAGAUAAGGAGCUUGCUCCUUUGACGUUAGCGGCGGACGGGUGAGUAACACGUGGGUAACCUACCUAUAAGACUGGGAUAACUUCGGGAAACCGGGGCUAAUGCCGGAUAACAUGUUGAACCGCAUGGUUCUACAGUGAAAGGCGGCUUUGCUGUCACUUAUAGAUGGACCCGCGCCGUAUUAGCUAGUUGGUGAGGUAACGGCUCACCAAGGCAACGAUACGUAGCCGACCUGAGAGGGUGAUCGGCCACACUGGAACUGAGACACGGUCCAGACUCCUACGGGAGGCAGCAGUAGGGAAUCUUCCGCAAUGGGCGAAAGCCUGACGGAGCAACGCCGCGUGAGUGAUGAAGGUCUUCGGAUCGUAAAACUCUGUUAUUAGGGAAGAACAAAUGCGUAAGUAACUGUGCGCGUCUUGACGGUACCUAAUCAGAAAGCCACGGCUAACUACGUG